CAAGUUUAUUAAAAUUCAUAGAUCUUACUUACUCCGUUCCAUAAAGAUUGGCGUGAAUUUGAACUAGAGCUAGUUUAAAUCCGUGCCAAUCUUUAUGAAACGGAGGGAGUACAACAGAGUCAGUCAUGACUUGGCAGAUUUUGCAAGAUCGAGUCGACGUAGAGCU